CAUCCAAGUCGGGCAUGCUUCCGUUAACCAAGAUACCCACAUGCUAAGAACGGGAGAGAGAAAUGAUUAUUAUGUUUUAUCUUCCUUUUCUUUUGUUUGAUUGCUCAGUGUAUGCAUAUGCGUGUGUGUGUGUGUGUGUGUGUGUGUGUGUGUGUGUGUGUAUGCAUGUUAAUUCUAUUGAAAUAAUUUAAUAAUUUUCACUCAAUGAGUUAUUGUGAUACUAAACCUGAGAUGAAGACAAAGAGGCGUAGAAAGAUGAAUUCUGUUUUCCUUCAUUCCCUCUACUUCAUUUCAUUAGCAUUGUCACUAUUGUGUGUGUGUGUGUGUGUGUGUGUGUGUGUGGGCGGGUGUGUGUGUGGGUGUGGGUACGCAUUUAUUUCAUUCUCAUAAUUUUCUAAUCAACGAGUCACUGUUCUAUCUGAGAUGACAUUCAUGAAUGCUAUGAAUGGUCACACGUCUCGGCUGGGCUAAUCAAAUAUUUUUCAAUAAGUGACAGCGCUGACGAGCACAACGGGGACAAAUCUUUCCACUAAUUGAUUCAAAGAUCAAAGAUAGAGGCUCGCUGGCUGAAGUCAUAGAAUAACCUGACAUUUCUCAGUCUCUCUUCCUCUCUCUCUCCCUUUCUCUCUCUCUCCACCCUGUGUGCUAUUGUCAUUAAGAUGGAGCACUUCCCAACAGUGGCGGCUGCUUCCUGCUUCCUGUUUCCUGUUUGUGCUGGAGCUGAAGCUGGAACCGUUUCCUGUAUCCUUGAAUGAUGGACAGCUGGGGAAUCCAUCAAAGAAGGGGUCCCCAAAACACAUCUGUAAAACUAUUCCAAGAGGGUCACGGUGAACCUUUAGCCUAUCCCAGGGAGCAUCGGGCACAAGUAUGAAUGUCUGAACUUUUACAGGAGCUCAGAGACGGUCAGAGCCAAGAGGUCAGCCCAGCUGCUGAAAAUAGAACAGAAUGAGACAUCAGAGAAAAAUCCCCCAGACACACACACUCACACACACACACACACACAAUGAUUUUCCAAAGCGUUUAAAGUGCGGUUUGAUCAUUUUAAACCUCCGAAUAAAACUCAGCGUCAUGAAGCAAAGUAAAUGUUAUUCAUGCGAGUCAUUACGUAGUCCGAACGGAAAUCGUUAACCUUUGUAAACAACGUCCGUUUUCAGAAUAAAUGAGACUGUCCGAAUAUUCCUCCUGUGCGCUCACACAAAAUCCUUCCUGUAAACUAUAAGGCCCACUCUUUCUUCCAAACAUCUGCUGCUCUACUAGAUGAAGCAUUAAUAUGUAUUGAUUGCGUCUCUUUUACUAUCCAAAUUGUUCCCACAGCGAACAAACACAUUUCCACACAAAACAGUGAGCGCUUUCUUUAACCAAGUACCAAAUGCGUGAUGCUUAGAACUGUAAAAGACGUCUAUUAUGACUUCUUGAACGGCACGUAUUGGGAGGAUUAACGAUAUUACUUGCAGUAUAAUUAGAUUAAUAAUGACUCGAUCAGACACUGAGUCAAUUGAGGUGAAGCUCAGACUUGAGGCCAAGCAGGCUGACCUAGCAUGACUUUACCCAUAUCCCAACCCCCCACCCUCCCACACACACAAAAAAACACAGUUGAGAUUUGCAUGCUUAAUAUCUGGUGCGCUAUAGUGUCUCAUAUCUUCAAAGCAAACUGAACAUACACACAGCAUGUAUACAUUCAGGCGUACACUCCUCAAUAGAAGUGUUGCACAAUACACAUACUACUGCACAUGCAUGUGGUUAAAAAGAUUCCCAAUCUGGUCUGACAUUUCUCCCUGAAUGAGCUAGUGUGGUCGCAACAUCAACAGGCCUUUGUCAGAAAGUCAGAUGAACGAAAUGGGGAGGGAGCUUCAGCACGAGUGUUUCGGUCAUUCCAUUUCCAUUCCAAGCACCCUAUGUUCAAACUAAACUUCAACUGAACAUAAAGCCAACCGCUUAUAAACUAACUGCGAGCAAUCCGAGUUCACAUUUGAGCUUUGAAGUGCCUGUAAAACUCCUCCGCUGUAAACAGUGUCCUUUUCCACAAUUGGUGUGCAAAUGAAAGUUCGUAAUGAAGACGAGUCAUCUGUAUCAAGGCAAAAAUGAGUGUUUCUAUGGCAACAACUUACAACGGGACGUUUAUCGGUCCUGCCAGGAUUAUGCGAUUUUGUGAUCGCAGAAAUGAACGAAAAAAUCGAGCAAACUCCGCAAAUAUUCGGAGGAGCGUGCGGUUUUUUCGAAAUUUCCGCAAAUUUGCGGUGAUGUCAUUAAAACGCACGUUCAGCCAAAGGUCAUCUGCGAUUCACGUGCGUCACACAUGAAUACAGCUAAAAGGUCUCAUUUACCAACACAAAUCACUGUGAAAGUUUCACUAAUUCAAGUACUUUUCCACAAAAAAAAGCAGAAAUUUUGAAAAAAGCCAAAGCAAAAUUGAGCAAUUUCGGGUGCAGCAAUCACAAAAUAAAAAGAAAACUCGAAAUGCUUUAUAUCAGACGUGCCGCAUAAAAAGAUUUUGUAAAAUGGUGAUGUUUUCUGUAAGGACACGUUUAUUUGGCUGUGUUUUUUUUUAAGGAGUCU